AACGAACGCUGGCGGCAUGCCUAACACAUGCAAGUCGAACGAGACCUCCGGGACUAGUGGCGCUUGCGUGCGGAACGCGGGGGAAGCUGCCCUUAGGCUCGGAAUACUUCCCUGAAGGGGGUGCUAAUGCCGGAUAAUUUACUCGGAUACAAGAUAUGGCGUCUUUGGAGGGGCACGCGUUGAAUUAGCUAGUUGGUAGGGAAAAAGCCUAUCACGGCGUCGCUCGUUAGCUGGUCUGAGAGGAUGAUCAGCCACACUGAGACUGAGACACGGCCCAGACUCCUACGGGAGGCAGCAGUGGGGAAUAUUGGACAAUGGGCGAGGGCCUGAUCCAGCAAUGCCGCGUAAGUGAUGAAGUCCUUAGGGUAGUAAAGCAGUUUUACACGGGGUUAUAAUGACGGUACCGGGAGAAUAAGCACCGGCUAACUCCGUG
rnacentral:rRNA from 1 species